AUUGAACGCUGGCGGCAGGCCUAACACAUGCAAGUCGAACGGUAACAGGAAGAAGCUUGCUUCUUUGCUGACGAGUGGCGGACGGGUGAGUAAUGUCUGGGAAACUGCCUGAUGGAGGGGGAUAACUACUGGAAACGGUAGCUACUACCGCAUAACGUCGCAAGACCAAAGAGGGGGACCUUCGGGCCUCUUGCCAUCGGAUGUGCCCAGAUGGGAUUAGCUAGUUGGUGGGGUAACGGCUCACCAAGGCGGCGAGCCCUAGCUGGUCUGAGAGGAUGACCAGCCACACUGGAACUGAGACACGGUCCAGACUCCUACGGGAGGCAGCAGUGGGGAAUAUUGCACAAUGGGCGCAAGCCUGAUGCAGCCAUGCCGCGUGUAUGAAGAAGGCCUUCGGGUUGUAAAGUACUUUCAGCGGGGAGGAAGGGAGUAAAGUUAAUACCUUUGCUCAUUGACGUUACCCGCAGGAGAAGCACCGGCUAACUCCGUGCCAGCAGCCGCAGUAA
rnacentral:rRNA from 1 species